UCUCUGUUUUUCUGCAUCUCCCUCAAGCUCUCCCUCUCUAUUGUAGCAACAAAAUUAAGCUACAAAAGCUUUUCGCCUUCCUUGUCUCUCUUUUAAAACCAGAAACUUUGACUGACUAGAACUGAACCAUAACGAACCCGGAUUUAGUCGAACCAAAAAGAGAAAGUGUUUGUCUUGAAGUCUUCUAUCUAUCCUCAAAAUUUCACAUCAAUCAGAGUAGGUUUGACUAUCAAAAAAUAGGUCGGAGUAAGCUGCCCUCCAUUUGGACGGAAAUCCUGAAUUCAAAUAGAUAAUGAAAUGUCUUUUUGAUUUAUUGCAAAGCUAAGAGAUUGCGGAGAAUAACUGUUACGAAGAAGUGGAGUAUCAGGAUUGUCCAGAUUUUUAAAGUAGAGUAGCCAAUCACGAAGCUUGUAGUUGGCCAUGGAUUUAGGCUUGGUUACCAACUUCUGAGCUAAGGAUAUUAUGUAGGGAUCCACCUUAUUGAUUUGCUUCAAUUCUUCCCAUAUGCCAAAUUGUGGCCCUGAAAUGCCAUUGAGUCAGCUGGUUGUAGCAGAGAGAAGUAUGGGGCUAUGGGGCAUUCUUAACAAUGCGUCAGCUGCUGUAUUGGAACGGCUUGGGCGAUAGACAAUUUUAUAUUCAAAACCUACCGGUUUGGAGACCCAUUUCUGCUGCUCGGGGGUAACUAUGCGCUGCUCUAGCAGAAAUUUGAGACUUUUCUGGUUAGUUCGGAUUUGGAACCUCUGACCUAGCAAAUAUGGUUGCCAUGUUUUGACUGCCUCCAUGAUCACAAGCAUUUCUUUGGAGUAUACUGACCACACAUUUUUAGAGGGUCUAAGGGCCUUACUUAAGUAAGCAAUGGGUCGUCCUUGUUGACUCAAUAUCACACUGUUCCCAUAAUCUGAAGCGUCUGUCUCUACAAUAAAAAUGUUAGAAAAAUCUAGUGGAGCUAAGAUAGGA